CAACACAAUCAGUGUGAUAUGUUUUUGUUCUGUAAAAAACAAGUAAUGGCAACAAACCAUUCGUUCCUCAAUCCAUCGUCAGCGGCAUCACUCCUUCAACCUACACAGUAACUUGAACAUGAUCGAAGGAAUGUGCAGCUUCAGCCUAUCCUUGGGAAAUAAACCUAAAUUGAAAGAGCAUAUGCAAUAAUGUGUUGGUCAUGCUGAGGAGAUUAAAAAGCUUGCUAAAGUUCACACUCAGGUUUUUGAACAUCUCUGUCUUCAAGUCAUUAAUUUUUCAAGUUUCAUGGUCCUCGCCCUGUCAGACGGAAUCGAGUUAAAGCGUAUUUAUAUAGUUUACCAUUGCUACGAAGGAAAAGAGUAUGAAAAGGACUUUCGGAACAUAUUUUUUCUGCAGUGAUGUUGCUAUUCAACCAACAACCACGAUAAAAAAGGGCAAUAACCAUUCGGACCAUGGAUUCAAAUUGCGGUCCACGUCCGCAAUUGUGCCGCAAUAUUGCUUAUGGUAGCCUUUACAGUUGCAUCACACUGCAAUUGCAGCGUGAUUUUCAAUCCCGUGUGCGGCCACAUCAAGAAUUGCAUCAGACGAUUUCAACUAUAUUUGUUCAAAUUUUCUCACAAAAAUUUAAAUUUUAGUACUCAAAUUUCAAUCAACUUUAGAUCU